rnacentral:rRNA from 1 species
GAUGAACGCUGGCGGCGUGCCUAACACAUGCAAGUCGAGCGGCAGCGAGGGGUGCUUGCACCCUGUCGGCGAGCGGCGGACGGCUGAGUAACGCGUGGGAACGUGCCCCAAAGUGAGGAAUAACUACCCGAAAGGGUAGCUAAUACCGCAUAUUAUCUUCGGAUCAAAGGAUUUAUCCGCUUUGGGAGCGGCUCGCGUCGGAUUAGGUAGUUGGUGAGGUAAUGGCUCACCAAGCCGACGAUCCGUAGCUGGUCUGAGAGGAUGACCAGCCAGACUGGAACUGAGACACGGUCCAGACUCCUACGGGAGGCAGCAGUGAGGAAUCUUCCACAAUGGGCGAAAGCCUGAUGGAGCAACGCCGCGUGCAGGACGAAGGCCUUCGGGUUGUAAACUGCUUUUAUAAGUGAGGAAUAUGACGGUAACUUAUGAAUAAGGAUCGGCUAACUACGUG